rnacentral:piRNA from 1 species
UGCUCCGCAAGGGUAAUUAUGCCGAGC